UAGGGAAUCUUCGGCAAUGGGGGGAACCCUGACCGAGCAACGCCGCGUGAGUGAAGAAGGUUUUCGGAUCGUAAAGCUCUGUUGUUAAGGAAGAACGAGUGUGAGAAUGGAAAGUUCAUGCUGUGACGGUACCUAACCAGAAAGCCAAGGCUAACUACGUGCCAGCAGCCGCGGUAAUACGUAGGUGGCAAGCGUUGUCCGGAAUUAUUGGGCGUAAAGCGCGCGCAGGUGGUUUAGAAAGUCUGAUGUGAAAGCCCACGGCUCAACCGUGGAGGGUCAUUGGAAACUAAUAAACUUGAGUGCAGGAGAGAAAAGUGGAAUUCCUAGUGUAGCGGUGAAAUGCGUAGAGAUUAGGAGGAACACCGGUGGCGAAAGCGGCUUUUUGGCCUGCAACUGACACUGAGGCGCGAAAGCGUGGGGAGCAAACAGG
rnacentral:rRNA from 1 species